UUAAAAAAAUUAUCAUUUAAUUUGUAACAACCCAUAUUUUUAAGGGUGUUUUAAUUAUCAUUAUUAUCUAAAAUUAUAUAUAUUAGAUCUUCUUAUCAUAUUUAAGUUGGAAUAUGAAGUUUAUGUUUUAAUUAACGAUAUUUUAGUAGUUUUAUUAUUCUUGAUAUUAUAUGUUAAUUAAACAAUACUUUGGAAGUGUUUAAUCUACAAGUAUAUUCCGAAAAAUGAUUUUGAAUAACUUGGAGUUCAAAUCGUUAUAUGUUAGUUUAUCGUAGUUAGCAACAUUUACAGUAUUAAGUUAGUAAGUCGUGUUGUAUUUUAGAUGUGAACAGAAAAGAAAAUCCGAAAAUUAUAAACACCACCCCUUUAUUGUUUUAGUCGGUCAAGAAACAAAAGAAAAAAAAAACCAAAAACCCCCUACCGUUUCUCUCUCUCAUGGAAAAACCAAACCCCAACCCUCAUCUCUCUAUCUCCUUCGCAUCUCUCUCUCGCACUUCGUGUCUCUCCCUUCUGGUUGGUUCUUCGCCGGCGUAUUUUGCAGCUCGCUGGAGCGUCGUCGUCUGCCACCGCAAGACUCCCUGUAUUCUCUCUCUCCUCUGUUCUUGUGGUCGUGGUUAGUCUCGAGAAUUGGCGGUGCUGCCGUGAGCAUUGCCGCCGCGAGCUGUCGUGGUGGUGUUAUUGCGAAUUGGCGGCGUUGUUGCCUUGUUUUUCUCUCUCCUCUGCUCGAUUUGUUGCUGUUGCGUGUUGCUGCUGUUGUGUCGGUGUCGUUGCCGCUGCUGCGUUGUUGUCCCGCGAUGCUGCUGCCGCCAUUAUCGCGGUGUUGCAGCUCAAUUCUGGCCCGCCAGUGAGUUGAUACUAGAGCAGGUUUCUUGUUGGAUUCGCGAAGUUUAAGGUGAGGACGGAAAUUCAUAGAGGAACUUUAUAUUCGAAGACUUCCAAAUGUAAAUUGUACUCGGGUUUAAAUAUGUAUUAAUUAUAUUAGUCUUGUUGACGUUUUGAUUGAAGAUUUCUUUGAUUAGUUUGUAAUACUGAUUAGUGCCAUUGGAUUUGAUUCCCUCUUGAGGUUGUUUC